CAAUAGCAUAUAUUAACGUUGUUGCAGUUGAAAAGCUCGUAGUUGAACUUUUGGUAGGAGCGACCUGGCCUUGGGCGCAUGCCCUUGUUUGCCGUGUGUCGUAUCUGGCCAUCCUUUUCCGUUUCGGCGGGAAUCUUUCACUGUGAGUAAACUGGAGUGCUCAAAACAAGACGUUUGUUUGGUACAUUAAAGCAUGGAAUAAUAAGAUAGGACCUGGUUACUAUUUUGUUGGUUUGCAUAGCUAGGUAAUGAUUAACAGGGACAGUUGGGGGUAUUCGUAUUUAAUUGUCAGAGGUGAAAUUCUUGGAUUUAUGAAAGACGAACGACUGCGAAAGCAUUUACCAAGGAUGUUUUCAUUAA
rnacentral:rRNA from 1 species